CCGCGGGAUAGAGUUUGAUCCUGGCUCAGAAUCACGCUGGCGGCGUGCCUAACACAUGCAAGUCGCACGAGAAAGGGACUUCGGUCCUGAGUACAGUGGCGCACGGGUGAGUAACACGUGAAUAAUCUACCUCCGAGUGGGGAAUAACUGAGAGAAAUCUUAGCUAAUACCGCAUAACACUUACGAGUCAAAGCAGCAAUGCGCUUGGAGAGGAGUUCGCGGCAGAUUAGUUAGUUGGCGGGGUAAUGGCCCACCAAGACGAUGAUCUGUAUCCGGCCUGAGAGGGCGCACGGACACACUGGAACUGAAACACGGUCCAGACUCCUACGGGAGGCAGCAGUGGGGAAUUUUGCGCAAUGGGGGAAACCCUGACGCAGCAACGCCGCGUGGAGGAUGAAAUCCCUUGGGAUGUAAACUCCUUUCGAUCGGGAAGAUAAUGGCGGUACCGAGAGAAGAAGCCCCGGCUAACUUCGUGCCAGCAGCCGCGGUAAUACGAGGGGGGCAAGCGUUGUUCGGAAUUAUUGGGCGUAAAGGGUGCGUAGGCGGUUUGAUAAGUCACAUGUGAAAUCUUCGGGCUCAACCCGAAGUCUGCAUGCGAAACUGUCGGGCUUGAGUAUGGGAGAGGUGAGUGGAAUUUCCGGUGUAGCGGUGAAAUGCGUAGAUAUCGGAAGGAACACCUGUGGCGAAAGCGGCUCACUGGACCAUAACUGACGCUGAUGCACGAGAGCUAGGGGAGCAAACAGGAUUAGAUACCCUGGUAGUCCUAGCCCUAAACGAUGAUUGGCUUUGAUGUGGUGGGGACCCCAAUCCCG
rnacentral:rRNA from 1 species